UUGUUUUCUGGAUCCUGUUUUGAGGAGUACAUCCUAACUGUGUCUUUUGCUGCUCAAUUAAAGGCUUCAAACUACUGACCAUUCAUUCAAACAAUUAUUUAGUUCUGCUGGAAAGAUUGUAUCAUAGAAAGCGACUUUGAGAGGAACAGUUUCUGGGGCAUCAGAGAAACCCUAAGAAGUCAUUUCCUAAAAAUAGGAGGGUGUUAAUACCAGCAAUAAAGUGGGGUUUAGAAAAAGAUACGCUGUCAAAAGACAAAGAGAGGUGAAAAAGCAAAUAGCAAGCCUUUGGUGCGCAUUCCUUAUCAUGACACAGACAGGGUGUUUUCCUAAAGAAAUUGCCUGCAGUGAGUGUCUGCAGAUAAUAGAAACCGGUAAUAGCGUCUUUGCUGAAGCUAGAAGAAAAGUUAAUGUAUAAAAGGGCAUGGGAAGUUGAUAGGAAUGUUCUGUGUAUUUGGGUAGUGAGCUGGUGCAUAGAGCUGGAAUCUGAGUCUGUGGCACCUGGGCUGGGGGCGUCACCAGUCAUGUGACCAUGAGCAAGUCACAUUUUUUUUUUUUCUUCUGAGCCUUGAUGUCACCUGAAUGAUGGCAGAGAAAAUAUUUCAAAAUGAGAGAGGCUUAAAUAAGAUGGUACUCAAAAUAUGUGCCAGGUAGACUAUUUCUCUAAAUGUAAUCUACUUUUACCAAAUUUUGGUUCCCAGAGAGUAUUUGAAACAGAAUAAAUCUUGGACAUACUGGAAAGAAAUGAGGCAACCUGGGCCCUGAUAAAAGGUCAACGGGGGUCUCUUUACCAACAGACUUCUGAUGACCAGAAUAUUCUACCCUGGGCACAGAAGCUUUAGCUGUUUUUAUUUUAUUUAAAAUUUUAGUUAUUUUUUUGGCUGUACUUCUGGCAUGCAGAAGUUCCUGGGCAAGGGAUCUAACCUGUGCCACAGCAGUGACAACGCUGGAUCUUUAACCGUCUGAGCCACCAAGGGACUCUGAGCAGCCUUUAUUUCAUAUAGAGCAGCCAGGCAUUCAAAGCAAGCUCAGUUUGGGACUGAGGCGUGAGGGAUUUAGAAAGUAGGAAAACACCAGGUAUGGCCUUGAGCAAACCUGUGAUGUUGCCAAUCUUUGCACAGUCCCUGUGCCCACAUCCACUAAAAUUGAUUCAAGGUUAUUUUGCACCCAUGGAUGUAUGUGUCCGUCAUAGCCAUGCUUCUACAAAGGCAGGUGUGUGAUUGGGAAAGGUGUUAGGAAUGGAGAGACAGGCAGGGACAGUAAUUCUCUUUGAAUGUGUCUUUCUUUAUUCCCCAGGAUGGCUCUGAAAGGCAAAUGGACAGUAGAAGGUACUGUGAUAUUAGGGAGGGGGCAGUGGAGCUGGAACAAGGUUGAUUUCCACAGUGCAGAUUGACUCUCACCCAGGCAGACUCUUGUCCAGAAGCUGAGAGAGGUAGGGAUACUGCAGGCAGAGAGAAUAAGAGAAUAGCAUGGACAGAUUGGAGGUGGGCUGGGGGUAUGGGGACUUGCAGGGCUCAGGCAAGCAGGUACGUGUGUAGGAAGGACAGUGGGUGGUGGGACAAGAGAGAUGCAAAAAACACAUCACAAAGUGUGUUCUGGAGUCUGAACUUCCAAUAUUAGACUACUGAAUCUCAUAGUGAAAGAUGGAGGCUGCCUUUUAGGAAAACAUUGGGGGCUAUAGUUUGGAGAUUAUCCAGAGGAGCUGAGCCUGGAGGGAGAGAAAGCAGUGGAGAGGCUGCUGCAAGAUGCUGAGGGUCUGAUGUGGGGCUUGGCAGCAUCGUCUGGAAGGAGGGAGCAUAAACGCUGUUUAUGCAUUUAUUUUUAUGUGUUUAUACAGUACAUUUUAUUUUUUAUUUUUAAAUUAUUAAAAAUUAUUGGCAUAUAGUUGAUGUACAAUGUUGUGUUAGUUUCAGGUGUUCAGCAAAGUGAAUUGGUCAUACAUAUACAUAUGUCCAUUCUUUUUUUCCAUGUAUGUUAUUACAAACUAUUGAGUAGAUUUUCCUGUGCUAUACAGUAGGUUCCCGUUAGUCAUCUGUGUUAUACAGUCAUGUGAAUAUGUUAUUCCCACCCUCCCAAUUCUUUCCUCCUCUCCAUGGUUUCAUCUGUGGUAACCAUAAGACUGGUUUUGAAAUCUGUGAGUUUGUUCCCAUUUUAGAAAUAAGAUCUUCUGUAUCAUUUUAAAAAUAAGAUUCCAAAUAUAAGUGGUGUCUUUCACCGUCUGACUAACUUCACUUAGUGUGAUCAUCUCUAGGUCCAUCCAUGUUGCUGGAAAUGGCAUUAUUUUGUUCCUUUUUUAUGGCUGAGUAGUAUCUCAUUGUGUAUAUGCAUCAUAUCUCCUUUAUCCAUUCAUCUGUCGAUGGACAUUUAUGUUAUUUACAUAUCUUUUUGAAUUAGAGUUGUAUCCAGAUAUAUGCCCAGGAUUGAGAUUGCUGGAUCACAUGGUAUUUCUAUAUUUAGUUUUUAUUUUUAUUUUGUCUUUUUAGGGCUGUACCCGUAGCAAACACUCUUAAGGCAUCACCUCCUCUACGAAGUCUCUGCUGACCGUCUAAGCAGAAGUGACCUUGAAGAUAGCUCAAUUCAACCUUACUUUAUUGGAAACCCUAGUGUGGCCACUGCAAGGAACUGUGAGCAGUCAUGUAUGUGCUAUAGAUCUGAGCACCCACUUUUAAAACCAAGGUUAGAAUAUUCACCUUGUAGGAUGGUUAUAGUUAGGUGUAUGUUUGAACUAUGCAUGCAGUAUAUUAAAAUAUCACAAUGUGAUGUGUCUGUUGCCUAAUGAGUUGAUACUCAGUCAAUAACAACUUUUCCUAUGCCUACCUGAGAAGCCCCUGUGCUCUGUUAUUGCAGCCCCACUCCCUCCUGUGCACCCUGUCUCCAUGGCUACCAGUGAGCUAACCUCCUGUAUUCAUGCCUUUUGAACAUAGGGCUUCUCCUCUUAAAUUCAGGCUGACCCGGCAUUCACUUAUAACCAAUAGAGUGUGAGAUAAACAUCUGUAGGAGCUCCCAAAGCCAGAAGAAGGAAGCCCUGUGCUUUCUGCAAUGAACUCUUGGAAUAUGGCUUCUGGAGGCAGUCAGACACUGCAGAAGCUGUUCGGGGCCUGAGCCUACCUUGCCCUGUUGGCCAAGAGAUGGGGAGACCUCCCAGGGAGUGGAGAUGCCCAGUCAACCCCCUGUCCCAUCAGACCUGUUGUAAGUCAGGGAGCCAUCUCAGCAUCCAGCCUCUGAGACCCCAGCCCAGCCCAGCUCUGCCCAGCAUCUGAUAGAUCCCCCCAAGGGAUCCGCCCAGCUAAUCUAGAGUGGUGCUGGAUGCUGAGAUAUUGUCUUAAGCUGCUAAAUGUUGGUAGAAAACAGGAAUACUUACCUUCUCCAGAAGGUUCCCUCUGCCCCCAGGCUUGUGGGAAAGCCCCUGUGAUGUCCUGCCACCAAGGAGCAGGCACUACCAUGGCCAUCUCCACUGUCCCUGCUUAUCUGUCUCCAGCUGGCCUGCAUCUGCCACAGGGGAGCAGGGACCUUGCCUGUCUUGUGUACAUUACCCAGAAGAACCUGUCAGCUAGGUGGUAUAGAGAUGCUUUCCCCCCCUUUUUUUUGUGGUUGUACCCAUGGCAUGUGCAAAUUCCUGGGCAUGGGAUCGAACCGUCACCACAACAGUGACCCGGGCUAUAGCAGGGACAACAUCAGAUCCUUAACUGCUAGGCCACCAGGAAACUCCUGAAGACACUCUUGACUACAUGAGAUAUUCAUACUAUAUUGUAGCUAGAUGCCUCCUCCUCAUUCAUGAGCUCCUAAAAGGCAGGCCUUAGUAAAAUAGCAUUAAUAGUUAUACCUACAUAGGAGUUUGUUAUGAAAAAUGAGGUGAUGUGUUAAAAUACUCAGCAGGCUUGGCAUCUAGCUAGCCUUCAGUAAGCAUCAGGUGACAUGGGACUGGGCUCUGGGAGAUGCUCACUAAAUGCCGAGUUCAGCAAAAUGGCAGGACCAGAGCUGAACAUGGCCCCGUGAGGCCCAGGGAGAGCUUCUAAAGGCAGGACCCCGGUUCUUUGGCCAGGGUGCAGGAAGUCAGGCUUGAUAGCAAGGACUGUCCCUUCACUCCCAUCACUGCCAGCUGUAGAGUUCAGGGAGUUACCUGCGUGAGUGUGAGGACCACGUGGACACCAAGGUGGGAUCUGGGGACCGCUUUCCUCCCAGACCUGGCUCAAGCUGAGAGGAAAUAGUGGGGAAGGGGCCAAGAAAGGCCCAGCCCACUGCAGAAAGCCACGGAAAAAGAAGUGCAAAAUACUGCAUGCAAACACAGGCCUGAGUGACAAAAGACCAGUGAGAGUUGAGCCCACCAAGUCCUGCAGCCACUGGGGUGUGGCUCCGGGGUCAUGGCAGGACUGCGGAGACUCACUCAUCCCCACUCACCUCAAUGGCUCCGGUAACCUUGUCUUGCCCAAGGCCUCUGGUGAUGAGUCCACUCUCCCAUUUCUGUCCCAUUACCCCAUCCGUCCUGUGAUGCUCCAAGUGUCCCUCUCGGCUAUGACCAGGCAAAACCACCAGAGG
rnacentral:lncRNA from 1 species